rnacentral:lncRNA from 1 species
UACCCUUAGUGCAUUGUAACAUAGGGUUUCAUACUUUCAUUUUCAAUUUCACUCACGCAGUCACGCUCAUACCAGUACGCCUAUUCAUGCCGGUCCUCACCUUCAGACCACCGCCAGUUCGCCACCACCUCACGACUCACUCGGUCACGCCUGCCCAGCUGAGCCCGUCACUCUUUCAUCGUGUAAGUUCUGUCUUUUAUAAGUUUUGGCUCAAGAUCUUUGCUUCUGUUUGCUUCUGUUAAAGAGAAAAUGAAGUAGGAAAGAUCGUUGUUGCUUCCUUGAAUUGGCAAACCGUGUCAGAAAUGAUUUUCUUGUUUUGGCCAACAAUUCUUGAUUUCACUUUCAUAUAUGCAUGAUUGUAGCUUAGUCUGGAUUACUAAGCUAUU